UCUAAUACCGGAUAUUGACCACCGCAGGCAUCUGUGGUGGUGGAAAGCUCCGGCGGUGCAGGAUGAGCCCGCGGCCUAUCAGCUAGUUGGUGAGGUAAUGGCUCACCAAGGCGACGACGGG
rnacentral:rRNA from 3 species